rnacentral:rRNA from 1 species
UACGUAGGGUCCGAGCGUUAAUCGGAAUUACUGGGCGUAAAGCGUGCGCAGGCGGUUUUGUAAGCCAGAUGUGAAAGCCCCGGGCUUAACCUGGGAAUGGCAUUUGGGACUGCAAGGCUGGAGUACGGCAGAGGGAGGUGGAAUUCCAGGUGUAGCAGUGAAAUGCGUAGAUAUCUGGAGGAACACCGAUGGCGAAGGCGGCAUCCGUGGACCGACACUGACGCUGAGGAGCGAAAGCCAGGGGAGCA